rnacentral:rRNA from 1 species
AUGAGAGCUGUGUCCCCCGUGCUUGUUGAUGCCAAAUCGCUAACCCGACAAAUGGCGGAGGCGGUGCUCGUUGCUCUCGGAAAGAUUGGGAAUGUCUUAGCUGAUGAAGCUACCAAGGCUUUGCUGGCCAAGCUGUCAGAAAAAGUUAGUAAUCUGAUUGAUCUGGAUGACAAGAUUGAGGGAAUAGCGAAGCAAUUAAAUACAAUGAAGAACGUCAUACAGCAGAUAGGCACGCCGUACCUAGCCGACAAAGUCGUAAAGGGUUGGAUUGGGGAGGUGAGGAAGUUGGCCUACCAUGUUGAGGAUGUGAUGGACAAAUACUCAUAUCACUCUCUUCAUGUGGAAAAAGGGUUUCUGAAGAAGUGCCUCAAAGGAUCACAUUAUGUCCGGGUUUUUAGUCAAAUUGCCGAUGAGGUAGUCAAGAUAGAGAAGGAGAUAAAGCAAGUUAUCGGACUCAAGGAGCAAUGGCUGCAACCAUCCCAGCUUGUUCAUGACCCGUGCACUGAGAUGGAAAGACAACGGUCCCAAGAUAUCUUCCCUGAACUUGUGAAAGAUGAAGAUCUUAUUGGAAUUGAAGAUAACAGGAGAAUGAUGACUGAAUGGUUGUACUCGGAUGAGAUGGAGACUACGGUGAUAACGGUGUCGGGUAUGGGUGGGUUGGGAAAAACAACCCUCGUCACAAAUGUGUAUGAACGUGAAAAGAUCAACUUCCAAACAAGUGCGUGGAUGGUUGUGUCUCAGACCUACAGUUUGGAUGCUCUGUUGAGGAAGUUACUCGAGAAGGUUACCGAACAACCAUCAUCACCUAACAUUGACAGGAUGGAUGUGCAUGACUUGAAGGAAGAAAUAAAGCGAAAGCUUAAAGAUAGGAAAUGUUUAAUUGUAUUGGAUGAUGUCUGGAACAAGGAAGUGUACUCUCAAAUGCGAGAUGCAUUCCAGAAUUCUCAUGCAAGUCGCAUCAUCAUCACAACGCGGAACAAUCAUGUUGCUGCUGUUGCUCACUUGACACGCCGUAUCGUUCUCAAGCCUUUGGGGAAUGCUCACGCAUUCGAACUCUUCUGCAGGAGGGUCUUUUAUAUCAAGAAGGACCAUGAGUAUGAGUGUCCCAAUCAUCUCAUGAAAACUGCUAGGUCUAUAGUUGAUAGAUGUCAGGGUCUGCCACUAGCAAUUUUAUCAAUAGGUGGUGUUUUGUCUUCGAGGCCACAAACACAAUACUCUUGGGAGCAGAUAUACAAUCAACUCUCAACUGAGCUGUCGAAGAAUGAUCAUCUCCGGGCAGUUUUAAAUCUGAGCUACCAUGACCUAUCUGGAGACCUCAGAAACUGCCUUUUGUAUUGCAGCCUUUUCCCGGAAGACUACCCGAUGUCACGUGAGAGCCUUGUGAGGCUGUGGGUUGCAGAAGGCUUUGUGUGUAGCAAAGGAAAUAGCACCCCGGAGGAGGUGGCCGAGGGAAACCUGACGGAACUGAUAUACCGCAAUAUGCUUGAAGUCAAGGAGACAGAUGAACUGGGAAGGGUGAGCACCUGUACGAUGCAUGAUAUUGUGCGAGACCUGGCUCUUUGUGUUGCAAGCGAGGAGCAGUUUGUAUGUGCAAAUGAUUAUGCCACAUUGAUACAUAUGAAUAAGGAUGUUCGUCGUCUGUCAUCAUGUGGAUGGAAAGGCAAUACUGCACUGAAAAUUAAGCUUCCCCGUCUUCGAACUCUAGUGUCAGUAGGAGCAAUUUCAUCCAUGCCUGCCAUGCCGUUCUCAGUUUCGUCAGAAUCCAGCUACCUGACUGUCCUCGAGCUACAAGACUCUGAAAUCACUGAAGUGCCGGCAUGGAUAGGUACACUCUUCAAUUUACAUUACAUUGGCUUACGCCGCACCAAGGUGAGGUCACUCCCAGACUCUGUUGAGAAACUAUCGAACCUGCAAACUCUGGACAUCAAGCAAACUAACAUAGAGACCCUACCAAGAGGGAUUGCUAAGAUCAAGAAUCUACGGCACCUCUUAGCUGAUAGAUAUGCUGAUGAGAAGCAGACGGAGUUUCGAUACUUUGUCGGAAUUCAAGCACCGAAAGAACUGCCCAACAUUGAAGGGCUGCAGACUCUUGAGACCAUCCAAGCCAACAAAGACUUGGCUGAGCAGCUGGAGAGAAUGGUGCAAUUGCGAACUCUGUGGAUUGACAACAUAAGUUCUGCUGAAUGCGCAACUAUUUUUGCUGCCCUGUCAAAUAUGCCGCUUCUUUCCAGUCUGCUUCUUGCUGGAAGAGAUGAGAACGAGGCACUUUGUUUCGAGUCCCUCCAGCCAAUGUCCACACAUCUCCACAAGCUGAUCAUCAGAGGGAAAUGGGCCAAGGGAACGCUGGAGUGCCCGAUAUUCCGCAGCCACGGAGAAAAUCUCAAGUAUCUAGCUCUAAGCUGGUGUCACCUUUGGGAAGACGAGGAUCCACUGGGGAUGCUUGCACCACACUUGCCAAACCUCACAUAUCUGCGGCUCAACAACAUGCGCAGUGCAAACAUUUUGGUUCUUUCUGCAGAUUCCUUCCCUCACCUGAAGAGCCUUACACUGAAGCACAUGCAUAAUGUCAACGAGCUAAAGAUCAUCGAUGGCGCCCUUCCGAGCAUCGAAGGUUUGUAUGUCGUGUCAUUGUCGAAGCUGGAUAAGGUCCCUCAAGGCAUUGAAUCCCUUAGUUCCCUGAAGAAGCUCUGGCUGCUGGGCUUGCACGGGGGCUUCAAAGCUCAGUGGGACAAGAACGGAAUGCAGCAGAAGAUGGUGCAUGUUCAGGAGCUUCGUGUCUGA